CUGGCCUUGACAUGCCACUAACGAAGCAGAGAUGCAUUAGGUGCCCGAAAGGGAAAGUGGACACAGGUGCUGCAUGGCUGUCGUCAGCUCGUGUCGUGAGAUGUUGGGUUAAGUCCCGCAACGAGCGCAACCCUUGCCAAUAAUUGCCAUCAUUUAGUUGGGCACUUUAUUGGGACUGCCGGUGACAAACCGGAGGAAGGUGGGGAUGACGUCAAGUCCUCAUGGCCCUUAUGGCCAGGGCUUCACACGUAAUACAAUGGUCGGUACAGAGGGUUGCCAACCCGCGAGGGGGAGCCAAUCCCAGAAAGCCGAUCGUGGUCCGGAUUGGUGUCUGCAACUCGACCCCAUGAAGUCGGAAUCGCUAGUAAUCGCGGAUCAGCAUGUCGCGGUGAAUACGUUCCC
rnacentral:rRNA from 1 species